rnacentral:rRNA from 1 species
CCUACGGUGUGCAGCAGUGAGGAAUAUUGGUCAAUGGACGAGAGUCUGAACCAGCCAAGUAGCGUGAAGGAUGACUGCCCUAUGGGUUGUAAACUUCUUUUAUAUGGGAAUAAACUGUUCCACGUGUGGGAUUUUGUAUGUACCAUAUGAAUAAGGAUAGGCUAACUCCGUUCCAGCAGCCGCGGUAAGACGGAGGAUCCGAGCGUUAUCCGGAUUUCUUGGGUUUAAAGGGAGCGUAGGUGGAUUGUUAAGUCAGUUGUGAAAGUUUGCGGCUCAACCGUAAAAUUGCAGUUGAAACUGGCAGUCUUGAGUACAGUAGAGGUGGGCGGAAUUCGUGGUGUAGCGGUGAAAUGCUUAGAUAUCACGAAGAACUCCGAUUGCGAAGGCAGUUCACUGGACUGCAACUGACACUGAGGCUCGAAAGUGUGGGUAUCAAACAGGAAUAGAUACCCGAGUAGUC